AUUGAACGCUGGCGGCAGGCCUAACACAUGCAAGUCGAGCGGAGCGGCGGACGGGGGAGUAAGGCCUAGGAAGCUGCCUGGGAGUGGGGGAUAACGUCCGGAGAGGGGCGAUAAUACCGCAUGCGAGAAGAGGAGCCUAGGUCGGAUUAGCUAGUUGGUGGGGCAAAGGCCUACCAAGGCGACGACCCGUCACUGGUCUGAGAGGAUGAUCAGCCACACUGGAACUGAGACACGGUCCAGACUCCUACGUGAGGCAGCAGUGGGGAAUAUUGGACAAUGGGCGAAAGCCUGAUCCAGCCAUGCCGCGUGUGUGAAGAAGGUCUUCGGAUUGUAAAGCACUGUAAGUUGGGAGGCGUUACCAACAGAAUAAGCAACGGCUAACUUCGUGCCAGCCGCCGCGGUAAUAC
rnacentral:rRNA from 1 species